UACGGAGGAUCCAAGCGUUAUCCGGAAUCAUUGGGUUUAAAGGGUGCGUAGGUGGACGAUUAAGUCAGGGGUGAAAGCCUGCAGCUCAACUGUAGAAUUGCCCUUGAUACUGGUUGUCUUGAAUCAUUGUGAAGUGGUUAGAAUAUGUAGUGUAGAGGUGAAAUGCAUAGAUAUUACAUAGAAUACCAAUUGCGAAGGCAGCUCACUAACAAUGUAUUGACACUGAUGGGCGAAAGCGUGGGUAGCGAACAGG
rnacentral:rRNA from 1 species